CUGGAGCCUCCGUAUGUCUACGCUUCACAUGACCAAACCACUUCAAUCUCUCUUAUCUCAACUUAUCUUCAAUUGGCACCACUCUUACCUUUUCUUUAAUACUCUCAUUACGGACUUUAUCUUGUCGAGUAUGGCCACUCAUCCACCUUAACAAUUCUCAUAUCUGUAACUCUUAUCUUAGAUGCAUACGACUCUUUCAGUGCCAAACACUCACUACUAUAUAGAAUAGCCGGUCGUAUGGUUGUACGGUAAAAUUUUCUUUUCAAUUUAUUGGGAAUCUUACGAUCACUUAAAACUCCUGUGGCACGUUUUCACUUCAACCAUCCGGCUUUAAUCCUCCAUCUAUUUGAAGGACUGAGCCUAGAUAUUUAAAGUGAUUACUUUGGGGCAGUAUCACUCUAUUCAAACUAACUCAUUCCCUAUCAUCAGUUUGGCCUUCACUGAACUUGCAAUGCAUGUAUUCUAUCUUAAAAUUAAAUAAAUAAUAAAUAAUUAAAAAUAAAAUUUAAUAAUAAAAAUAAAUAUAUCUGGAGGAUUUUGAAUAUUUAUUCAAAUAAAUAAAAUUUCUAUUUCUUAAGUAAUUAAAAAAAUAUAAUUAUUGAAUUAAUAAUUGAUUAUUUUAUUAAAAUUUAAAAAAUAAAAAUGAGGUUACAAUAAUUAUUAAAUUUCACUUUAAUUAAUUUAUUUUUUAUUAAAUUAAUCAAAUUAAAAAUUACAAUUUUAAAAAUUAAUAAAUUAAUUAAUAAAAAAUAAAUAAAAAAAAUUUAAUGGAUUAAAAUUAAUGUUCCCACUUCUCCCUAAAAUUUUAAAAUUGGGAAGCUGGAGUGGGACACACGCGCAAUUAAAGAAAAUGGUAUAGCGACGAGCUCAUCCCCUUCUUCUGGUUACUGGUCAUCUGCUCCACUGCCACAAAUACGCAGCUCAAAAUCUUUCUUGAGUUGUGCAUUUGUUUCUCUUUUAUUCUGUGCCAAUCCAUAUGAUUGGGCCUUAAGCAGGACAUAGAAAUGGCAAUUUCUCUAAAUUCAGUUGUUGGGUUCAACUCAAAGUUGCCAGCCAAAUGCCAGAAUGUGUCAAAGAUCUUCUGUUAGAGCUUCAUCACUUGAGAGUAACCAAUUCAUGUUCUCCUUGGGCAUGAUAGGUUCAAGUGUUCAUUUAAAGGGAAGUGGAAGGGGUUUGUGUCUUUCAGUUACAGACAGUGAUCGUCUUGCUACAGACACAAGUGGUAAGGGUCCUUGUAGCACUGAAAGUUCAAUUUCUAAUAAUCAGCUUUCAUCUGCAGAUUCUCCUGGAGGAACUAGCCAGUUCCAAACUAGUGUUGACAAUGAUCCAGAACCUCAAACCUCUGGAGUUUCUAAUGUUUCCACAGUUUCUUCAGACUUGAAGCUGGCAAGACAACCUAACUUGCAAUCUACACCCAAAAGAUCGCUUCUAACAGUAAAAGAAAUACUUAGGGCUGCCAGGGUUAUCAGCCGUUAUGCAGAAUCAAAGGCUCAAAAUAAAAAACGGGCAGCAAAAUACUGGAUGCUUUGAAGGAAAGUAACAGGGGGAAGAAGAGAUCCGGCCUUCCAGAAGCCCCUACAAAUUUGUUGAUGACAGUGACAGAGGGUUGCCAAAGGAGGGAUGGACAUCUCAGUUUCCAGGAGGUGCUGAUCUCUUUGUUUUACCCUUUUAAUUUGUUUUCAUCAGCACAGUUAUGUUUGCAACAACUUAUUUUGUCUGAAAAGUUGGUGCAAUCCAUUUCAAUGGGUGCUAAGAUGGAUUUCAACGGGAUUAAUUCUGCAUUUUUGGAUGAGCAGCUACCUUCUUGAUUCACCCAUUAAAGAUUAUACUGUUUUGAUGUCAGGUACAUGGGUAGGAUGCAUGAGUUAAUGUAGAAAAAUUGCUUGGCCCACAUUCAUAAAUCAAAGAUUAUGCAUUUGGGAAAUGCCAAUGUGUACAUCUUCUUUAAAUGUCCUCAGUUUUGUAUUUCCUUUGUUGGUGAUUGAGGUGCUUGAUCCACGCUAUAUACCAUCAUCUUGUACAUAUAUAUUGCAAUUUAUCGCAUAAUGGUAUUUUUUUU